rnacentral:rRNA from 1 species
AUAUGCCUUUGAGUGGGGGACAACAGUUGGAAACGACUGCUAAUACCGCAUAACGUCUACGGACCAAAGGGGGGGAUGCUUCGGCACCUCUCGCUCAUUGAUUAGCCCAAGUGAGAUUAGCUAGUUGGUAAGGUAAUGGCUUACCAAGGCGACGAUCUCUAGCUGGUUUGAGAGGAUGAUCAGCCACACUGGGACUGAGACACGGCCCAGACUCCUACGGGAGGCAGCAGUGGGGAAUAUUGCACAAUGGGCGAAAGCCUGAUGCAGCCAUGCCGCGUGUGUGAAGAAGGCCUUCGGGUUGUAAAGCACUUUCAGCGAGGAGGAAAGGGUGUUGUUUAAUACGCAACAUCUGUGACGUUACUCGCAGAAGAAGCACCGGCUAACUUCGUGCCAGCAGCCGCGGUAAUACGAGGGGUGCAAGCGUUAAUCGGAAUUACUGGGCGUAAAGCGUGCGUAGGUGGUUUGUUAAGCAAGAUGUGAAAGCCCCGGGCUCAACCUGGGAACUGCAUUUUGAACUGGCAAACUAGAGUAUUGUAGAGGGUAGUGGAAUUUCCAGUGUAGCGGUGAAAUGCGUAGAGAUUGGAAGGAACAUCAGUGGCGAAGGCGGCUACCUGGACAAAUACUGACACUGAGGCACGAAGCGUGGGGAGCAAACAG